GGGCCCGCACAAGCGGUGGAGCAUGUGGUUUAAUUCGACGCAACGCGAAGAACCUUACCAAGGCUUGACAUCUACAGAAUCCUUGAGAGAUCAGGGAGUGCCCUUUUAGGGAACUGUAAGACAGGUGGUGCAUGGUUGUCGUCAGCUCGUGUCGUGAGAUGUUGGGUUAAGUCCCGCAACGAGCGCAACCCCUAUAUUCAGUUACCAGCACUUAAAGGUGGGGACUCUGGAUAGACUGCCGGUGACAAACCGGAGGAAGGUGGGGAUGACGUCAAAUCAUCAUGCCCCUUAUGUCUUGGGCUACACACGUGCUACAAUGGGCGGUACAGACGGAAGCGAAGCCGCGAGGUGAAGCAAAUCCGAGAAAGCCGCUCUCAGUUCGGAUUGCAGGCUGCAACUCGCCUGCAUGAAGUCGGAAUCGCUAGUAAUCGCAGGUCAGCACACUGCGGUGAAUACGUUCCCGGGCCUU
rnacentral:rRNA from 1 species